rnacentral:rRNA from 1 species
GAUGAACGCUGGCGGCGUGCCUAAUACAUGCAAGUCGAGCGAACGGACGAGAAGCUUGCUUUUCUGAUGUUAGCGGCGGACGGGUGAGUAACACGUGGAUAACCUACCUAUAAGACUGGGAUAACUUCGGGAAACCGGAGCUAAUACCGGAUAAUAUUUUGAACCGCAUGGUUCAAAAGUGAAAGACGGUCUUGCUGUCACUUAUAGAUGGAUCCGCGCUGCAUUAGCUAGUUGGUAAGGUAACGGCUUACCAAGGCAACGAUGCAUAGCCGACCUGAGAGGGUGAUCGGACACACUGGAACUGAGACACGGUCCAGACUCCUACGGGAGGCAGCAGUAGGGAAUCUUCCGCAAUGGGCGAAAGCCUGACGGAGCAACGCCGCGUGAGUGAUGAAGGUCUUCGGAUCGUAAAACUCUGUUAUUAGGGAAGAACAUAAGUGUAAGUAACUGUGCACAUCUUGACGGUACCUAAUCAGAAAGCCACGGCUAACUACGUG